rnacentral:rRNA from 1 species
GACGAACGCUGGCGGCGUGCUUAACACAUGCAAGUCGAACGGAAAGGCCUGCUUUCCCUUGUGGAUUGCGGGUACUCGAGUGGCGAACGGGUGAGUAACACGUGAGUGAUCUGCCCCCAACUUGGGUAUAAGCCUGGGAAACUGGGUCUAAUUCCCGAUAGGACUGCAGGGUGGUGCCUGUGGUGGAAAACGAUUUUCUAGUGGUUGGGGGUGAGCUCGCGGCCUAUCAGCUUGUUGGUGGGGUAAUGGCCUACCAAGGCGGCGACGGGUAGCCGGCCUGAGAGGGUGGACGGCCACAUUGGGACUGAGAUACGGCCCCGACUCCUACGGGAGGCAGCAGUGGGGAAUAUUGCACAAUGGGCGGAAGCCUGAUGCAGCGACGCCGCGUGGGGGAUGACGGCCUUCGGGUUGUAAACUCCUUUCGACCGCGAGGAAGCCACCUGGUUGGAAGGGUGGUGACGGUAGUGGUAGAAGAAGCACCGGCUAACUACGUG